GUACAUAACUCCACCAAGGAAAUCUGGCCAUACUGUUAUGAAGUGACAUAUCUUGUAAAUAAGCAAAAACAACAGGUGUUACACAUCUGUUCUUUUACCAAUCUUUAGAAUCUAUCUUUAGUGAAGCUAUAGUAGGGUUUAUAAACUAUUAGAUAAAAUUGGCUGGGAAGUCAUGCUUACUCAGUUAAAAAUCCAAGCCAGCAAGAGGACAAAAAAUCCUCAAGAGCUUAGGACUUGAUCUAGCAUUAUUUCAUAGUUUUGUCAUUAACCUUAGUCAUGAAAUUGAAGUUAGUUAGCAGAAGUCUUUUGCAGCUUAGGCAACAUUCCUACCCUCAUUAUAUUCUAUAGAAACCUCUUGAUUUUUUAUCUUUUAAUUCCAGGCAUUAUCACUAAUUUAGGAACCCAAAUUAGAAAUUUCAAAAUGAUCUGAAUUCAUCCAUCCCCCAUAAAAAAUCUCUAUCAAAGUCUAUCUAAUCUACUUUUAAAAUGUUUUCUGACUCCCUAUCAACUUCCCCAUACACACACACACACACAAAAUGCCUUAGUCCACAUUCUCAUCAUUCCUAGUCUGGAAAAGUAUGAUAGACUCCAAGAGUUUCCUCUCUUCUAGGCCUGUACCCCACAAUUCCAUCUCCCCAUUGCCCAAGAAUUCUAUUUCUAAGGCAGAAACCUUACAUGUUCUGCUUUAUUAAAGUCUCCUGGGGAAGCAGGCACUCAAGGCUGUGUAACAGGGUCCCAACUCAUCUGACCAGACUCAUGUUCUGUUACCCACUUCCAAACAAACUCUACUCCAUCCAACUCUUCACAAUUCCCCAAACGUGCCAGGCUUCUGCACAUGCUUUUUUGGCUGCUGGAAUGUUCCUCCAAUUCUUGCUCCAUCUGGUGAACAUUUACUCUGCCCUCCACAUGUAGUUCAAAUGCUGUGUUCUCUCUGCAGUCUCAAAGCAGCAUCACAGAGGUCAUUACCACUGCCUUGCCAUCCACCAGCACUCAGGACCCAACCCUGCUUCAGCACAGUCUACACUGCAUUGCAGUAACUUGUGUGCGUUCUGUCUCCUCUUGAUACUGAAUAUCUUGGAGAAAACAGAGCGUAUCUGAUAUUUGCAUUUUGUUUCAACCUGGCAUUGAAUAAGCAUGCAUUUGAUCAAUUUGGAGGAUGAGUAUAUUCUAAGGCAAUAUAUUUGGGCUAAAAUUAAAUAAAUGAAAGGUUAAAACCAAGUAGUAUAUCUAGAUGGAGACUUAACAUUUAUGGAAAGAUACAGAUGAAAGGAAGAAUCAUAGAGAAAUAGAGGAAAUACUACACAAAAAAGGCUCAGUGAACAUAAUUUCAGUUAUUUAGCGAGACAAAAAUAAAUACUAUAAACGACUCUUUACUGAAAACAUGCUCCCUGGUUCUUGAUGUUAAUACUCUAAAACUGAUCAACUCUAUCACAUUUUCUCAAAGUUCUGCUGUUUCUCCUGUCACUUCAAAACUAGUGCUGACAUUCCAGGGGGUCUCCAGACUUAGCUGCCCUUGGGUAGACUGAACCAACUCUUUCCACCUCAACAACGUGCUGCUCUUAUUGAUUUCUCUGAACUAGGGUUGUUGCCAUUAACUUUUUGGAUUCUAUUCUCAAUUUCUGUCAUCAUGACUGGCCCAUGUUUUGUCAGAUUUUAAUUCUCUAGCACUGUUCCCACAGAUAUUUCUAUAUCAAUGGCCUGUUUUAGGUGGUUUCCUUGGAUGACCACUUCAAAUUUUAAAUUAAUAUAUGUAUCUUUUUGCCUAACCUAUCAACUUCUCCCAAUGUUUCCAUUUGAAAACUCCUACUUACUUUCUGGCAGAAUAAACUUGCCAUCUCAGGGUUAGCUCUGAUGUAUCUCAGAGAAGGAUCAGAGGUGCUUUGGGCCUCACAUGCUCUGCAUGGAUUGGACAGGCCUAUUUUUCCACUCUUUUUUUUUUUUUCUUAAUUCCACUCUUGUAUCGGCUAUCUUUCUAUCCAUUUCCAAAUGCAAUGUACAACUUCCUCACCUGAUUAUCUCACCAGUGGCCUAUAGAAUCACACCCUAAAUAGCCCCAGGUCCCUCUGAGUCUCUGCUCCAAGCUCUCCUUGGCAGGCACUAGCCACUCUCCUCAUCUCCAGUUUCCCUCCAAGCCUGGAUUCUCUAUUGUACCAGGCACAUGACAGCUCACCCCCAUCUCUAAGCCAUCACACAUGCCUUUCCUUCUGGCUGGCAGGCCCUCUCUCCUGCUCAGCCUCCUUAUUCUCUGCCUCUUUAAGAUAUACAUCCUCAACGUGGCCUGCCUCAAAUAUUUUUUCCAGCAUCCUCUCCAGAUUAUAUAUUAGCAUCUCUUUAGCUUUGCUUGUUUGUAUUCCUGUUAAUUUUUCAUUCCUCCUUUGAAUUUGUAUUUACGAAGCCAAUCAGCCAGACAACUGUGGUUUCUAUCUCCAUAUCUUCCCCUGCCUUUAAACCAUCCAUUCUGUGUACCCACGGGGUAUUUCUGUCUGCUAGAAAACAUGAACUAAAACUGCAGCAGGAGAGAUUAAGCUGAAGGACCAGAAAGUAGACUGGGAAUUUUCCAUUUCUGGAGAACAGCACGGGCUUCCUUCUGUUUUAGGUGGUUUCCUUGGAUGACAAUGCUUCAGGUACAGAGAUAAUGUUCCAACAGUGGGAAUAAUCUCAGCUUUCCAUCACCUCUUUGCUCUUUCUCUGACCUUUUCCUCUCAGGUUCAGGGUCUCCCCUGCUCUAUCACCCACCUUCACCCUCCUUUCUCAGGAAAUCCCACUUAGAAUCCUGACCAAUUCCAGACAGCAGGCUGGACAACACCUCACAGAGGCUCCCGCCUGUUACUUUCUCCACAUUCGAUCCCCCAGAGAGCGAGCGAAUUUUCCAGCCUGGGGAUCACCGCCCUCUUUUCCACCCUGAAGAGAUACUUUCCAGGAGGAGGCUUUUAGGCACAGGACAUGCGGCACCAUCCGAAGAUCUACUCUGCUCCUCUUAUGUAGGCACCUAUCAAAGAUCUCUAAGUGGGGGUCCCACCAUUUUCUCUCUAUCGACCAAUCAAGGAGAUUCUGAAAGACUGUCACACAGCUGAGGAGUUUUUUGUUUUGUUUUGUUUUUUUAAAUCCCUUAAAGAAUGACUGUGGCUCUUGUUUGGGGCAGAAGCAGCAACACUACUGCGCACUCUCUCCUCUGCUCCAUCUUCAGGAGAUAUAAAUUCCUUUUGAGCCUCCGGACCAUCCUCCCAUCUGGUUUCUCCUUGGCCUUCUCCUUCAAGCAGAAGAUGGAAGCAAGAAGUCUUGGAAUUGGGGGCUAGGAGAGGUAGUGCAAUGGUAUCCUUUGCUCCUAUUUCCCAACCUCAAGCUGUGGCACUCGCUGCUACAAAUCCUGGAUGGUUCAAUGAAAACUAUGCAUUUCAAGAUUCUGGGUCUUCCUCUUUUUCACCCCCAGCCCACAGUCCCCUGAGGCUGGCUGCCCACGUGUCCUGGAACCCUGCUCCUCCCCACCCUCGGCCAAUCCCCGUCUGUGCCUCUGGCUUUCCUGCAACCCCGGCCAGUCCACCCACUUAUCUGCCCACCGACUCGCCUGCUCGCUCCCUCCCCCAGUAACCGACGCUGGGGCGGCUUUCGCUUCCACACCCCGCGCUCAGGAUAAGCUGGCGAGCCCCCGGCCGCAGCAGGCUUGAUUCCGGGCCAGCAAACUUCUCCGGGACCCUGCAACGCCCGGGCGGGCGAGAGGCCCGCCUCCUCCCCGGCCUUCGCGGCUGUGGGGGCGGCGAGGACGGCGGCCGCUCUCCGUCCCGCCUCGCGGCGCGGGCUGCGGGUCUGCCAAGGCGCAGGACCUGGCGCGCCGGGAGGAGCGGGCCCGGGAGGCUGGGGCCCGGGAGGCCGAGUCCCGGGACGCCGGCGCCGUGCCCCCGGGAGCCGCGCGGGGAGAAGCAGCCGCAGAUUCCCAAGGUGGAGGACAGAGGACACUGAGGUUAUUCAGGGACGGCAGCCAAAACUACUGUGAUUAUGGAACGAAUGGCAACAACAAGGUCUCAUCCUACAUCUGCUAACUUCUUCCCAUAAAUGAAUCCAGUCUUCCUGCCCAUACUUUCUCUUCUUGUUAAAUAGGUGUUGAGUGAGGGCUAAGAAGGGGACAAAGAAUAACGAAGGCGAUAAACAGGAGAUGGCAUACUUCCUACUCUCUAAAAAAGUCUACAGAAGAAGUGUUGAUUUGCUAUCAGAAGGUGACCAGAGAGUGAGAAGAGAAAGAAGUGAAAUUGGAAAGAAAGAAAAUAGUAUGUGAAAUUGUAUGUGAUGCAGUGGCCAACCUGAGCAGCAGGACAGGACUGACAGAAUGGGUAGAGCACCAGCUCAGCAAAUGCUACAUGCCUCUCACAUCUCAAGAAAUCGUUGUAGUGUCAGUUUCCCAUUGGUUCUAUUUUUUCCCCUUUACCUAGAACAGAACUGUAGCAGUUGAUCAAACAUUUUCCCUAUUAUCUUUAUAUUUGCCAUGAAAAUAAAUUCAAUUGAACUAAGAAACAGCUCAAGAACAGUGACAUUAAUGGAAAAAAAAAGUCAAAUCUAUCAAGUGAAAUUUAAUCCUUCCUUGGUUUAUAUUCCUCUCCUGACUAUUGCAAUGUUCAGUGGUUCCUAACGAAGAUGAAAAGACUGGCUAAAUUCCACAUUAUCUUUAUCAUAUUUUUUGAUCCAUUCCUCUAUCCUUUCCUCUAUCAUUUUAAAACGAGUUAGAGGCCACAGUUCCUCAUUUUGUUCUGUUAUAAAUUUGUGCAGCAGAUGGAGUUUUCCAUUAAUUUUGGAUAAGAUAGAAACCACUCCAAAUUAAUGUAUGUACUAAUGUAUACUAUUAAAGAAUGUACAUCAGUUACAGUUUCUUUUGUCUGCCACAGUCUAAACUGAAGAUAGUGUCAUGGACAUUUUUAUUCCCUUUGGCUCUCCACCACAUGAAUUCCUUUUCCAUGUUUGGGGAAUUCCCACCAGAGAAGUCUGAACCCUCCUCCCACUGUAAAAGCUGAAAAUAUGAGGUAGUCUCACUGCCAGCCAAGUGCACAAUGAGGUGGCAGUAGUGUUUCUACCAGACUGUUUCUGUAAUGUGGUUUAGUCAUUGUUCCUUGUUGUGCAGUCUUGAAGAAAUUGGGUGAGUUACCCAGUAUGUUUUAUAAGACCAUUUUCUGCUUAAAUGAAGUUAAGAUGGUUUAAUUUGCUGAAUGAUAGAGUGAAUGAAGAUGUGUGGUUGAAAUCAUAACUCAUCACGGGAAAGGAGGACCUGGUUGGAAUUGAGAACAGUGAAAAUCUAGCUUAUAUUAAUUGACAAAACUUCAAGAACUCACAGCAUCAAAUUACUUACUAGGUUAUUUAGAUGAAAUACCCAUUGAAGAUGAGGCUUUGGAGAAUUAAGUGGCCAAUCUCUUGGAGCAGUAUGAAGGCCUUAAAGAAUUAAAGGGCCAUGGGAAGGGACAGUUAUUUCUAACAGCACCAUGCAGUUUUUACAUAAAGAGAGUGACAAAGUCAAAGCAAAUAGCCAAGGAUAACUCUGCUCCACUUUGAUGGAGCAAAUUCAUGCAUUUUCCUGACAUUUUCCCCUGGAACUGCACUUCCUUCAAGGAAAUUCACAGUGGGAGAGGUGCCUGAUAAAGCGUUAACAUUGACUAAAGUAAACUACUUUUGCAAAAUCUUCACGCUGAAUUUUGCAUUAUUUCCCCCUCUAUUAGAAAGCAGUAAAAAGAUAACAUUAAAUGAUAAUUAAAUCAAACAUAGGUGAGAAGAUAAGAACACACCUAACCCUUAUGUGUGUUCAAAUAUCCAGGUCCAGAUAAGCGAAUUCUGUCAUUAGUUAAGCAGGCUAAGGUAUGAGGCAGGCUUCAGUUCCUGAAAAUGCAGGGCGGGGCAGAGCAUUCAGGAACAAGGAGUGAGUAGAAAGCUAAAUUCAAGGAUUCGGGUUUUGAAGACUGGAGGAAGCCAACCUGACCACCAGGAUUAGCCCCAGUGAGAGUUCCCUCUGUGGCUCAAAGGUUAACACACCUGACUAGGAUCCAUGAGGAUGCAGCCUUG